AUUGAGGUGGCAGAUCAAGUGGAUCAGCGCACGCGCUCCACGGUGCACUGCAGUCAACGCGGCAUAGGCUUGGUAUUUAAAAGCAACGCACGAGAUUAAAACAUUUCAAACUCAUCUAAUGGCUUUGAACACUUCCAGCUCAUCGCCGGAGCCAAAGGCCGGUCAUCUUCUCCGAUGACCCUGGCCGGACUGGUUUAGUCAUCACCACAUCAUAAAUGACAAAAGAGGACAUGAUCU
rnacentral:lncRNA from 1 species